GUGCUCACUUCGGCAGCACUUAUACUAAAAUUGGUACAAUACAGAGAAGAUUAGCAUGACCCCUGUGCAAGGAUAACACGCAAAUUCUUGAAGAGUUGAAUAUUUUG
rnacentral:snRNA from 1 species